UGAUGAGGUUUACCUUGGGCUUCUGCAGUAUUGGCUCUCUCCACCACUGAAGUGUUUAACGUCCUGCUACACACCACACAGUUCAAUAAGGUGACACUAGUAGCAGACAGGUAACUUCACUCUGAGCAGCUCCAGGCACUGACGCACACAAACAUUUCACGGGAGUGCGCAACAGGAUGCACGGUAGCGCGCUAGUGUUUGCGAUCUUCUGAGCAAAGCUGCUGCCUUGCCUCCUCAUUGCCGUCCAUUCAUUCCUCCUGCCUCAAAAAGACAAGCUGCUCCGACCCCCAAAAUGAUGUCGACCUCAAGUCAAGAUAUCUCCAAACCUCAACAGAUCAGCGCACACUUUGGUGGACAGAUGGGCUUUAUGCCAAGAAGAGCAGGAUUUUACAAUGGCAGAGUUUUGGAUUCAGGAUUUCCUUAUACAAACCUGUUGGCUGUAAAAAAACAGUCCUCCUCCACUUUGCUGUGGCCUCACACUUAAUGUAUUCCAGCUUUGCUGAUUUCCUGAUUCCAAAGGACAUUGCAUCUCAUUUCUUGUCACUUGUCUCCCAAAUUCCUAAAGGUACAAUUAGCAUUUUGUUUGACGACAUGUUGAAAGGUUCAUAGAUUGAUAUUUGCAAAAAUGUAGCAGGGUGUUUUUUUCCAAAUGCAAAUUCUGACAUUUAUUAACUUUUAUUACGGAUACUCUGUUUAUGGAUUGUAAAACUCUGCAUAGAUUUAAUGGGAAUAAAGUAAAAUUACAAUGUUUAAACACAAUCAGUGUGGCAAACCAGCAAGUGUGUAAUUUAGUGUUGUGUGGCAAUGAAAUGUUUUACGGGCGUUGAUUUAUGUCCUGUGCAUGGCAUUUCUAAUGAGAGAGACCAACAUUGCAGUGCGCCAGUGUUCCAGGAAACUACAUUUACAGCAGAUCUUUUUUCUCAAGAGUGUUUUUCCCCUGUGAAAUAAUGUCAGCACUUUCCCACCUUCAAAGUCCUUCUGUUUUCAGAUCUAUUAACAAUUCUAAUUGUACAGGAACACUUGUUAAGUAAGGCUGGUAAAUAAAGCAGGAAACACAUUAUUUCCUUUUAGUGCAGAUUAAAGGUACAGCUAUGCUGGCUUGAAACACAUUAAUGAGGUUUUAAAUAAAAAUGCUGGCAGGGAAUUUACACCGCUGACUGGUUUAACUGCAGUAAGCAGUUGAUUUUCCUUGAUGUUAAAAGGGGAACAUUAUUUCACCCGCUAAUGAAAAAUACAUCUUUCCACCCUCCUAUCUGUUAAUUAACAUGUUUGUGUUAAGGGAUUUUCAAAAAGGGAUACAAUCGCUUUCAAUCUGAUUAAAGUAAGUGAUACAUAAUAGGAAGGUUGUUUUCCUUGGGUCCUUCUG